AUUGAACGCUGGCGGCAGGCCUAACACAUGCAAGUCGAACGAGUGGCGGACGGGUGAGUAAUGUCUGGGAACCUGCCUGAUGGAGGGGGAUAACUACUGGAAACGGUAGCUAAUACCGCAUACCAUCGGAUGUGCCCAGAUGGGUUUGGCUAGUAGGUGGGGUAAAGGCUCAACUAGGCGACGAUCCCUAGCUGGUCUGAGAGGAUGACCGGCCACACUGGAAAUGAGAAACGGUACAGACUCCUACGGUAGGAGGCAGUGGGGAAUAGUGCACAAUGGGCGCAAGCCUAAUGCAGCCAUGCCGCGUGUAUGAAGAAGGCCGUCGGGUUGUAAAGUACUUUCAGCGGGGAGGCGUUACCCGCAGAAGAAGCGCCGGCUAACUCCGUGCCAGCAGCCGCGGUAAUAC
rnacentral:rRNA from 1 species